UACGUAGGGGGCAAGCGUUGUCCGGAAUUACUGGGCGUAAAGCGCGUGUAGGCGGGACGACAAGUCCGGCGUGAAAGGCUUGGGCUCAACCCGAGAAGGCCGUUGGAAACUGUCGUUCUUGAGGGUCGAAGAGGAGAGUGGAAUUCCUGGUGUAGCGGUGAAAUGCGUAGAGAUCAGGAGGAACACCCAUGGCGAAGGCAGCUCUCUGGUCGACCUCUGACGCUGAGACGCGAAAGCGUGGGGAGCGAACGGG
rnacentral:rRNA from 1 species